rnacentral:rRNA from 1 species
GAACGCUUGCCGGAUUUCGGUCCGGUGGGAGUGGCGCACGGGUGAGUAGCGCGUGGGAACCUGCCCUGUUGUGGGGGAUAACCGAGGGAAACUUCGGCUAAUACCGCAUGCGCCCCCGGGAGCGGUCUUCGGAUUAGUCCUGGGGGGAAAGAUUUAUCGCAGCAGGAGGGGCCCGCGUCGGAUUAGCUGGUUGGUGGGGUAACGGCCUACCAAGGCUCCGAUCCGUAGCUGGUCUGAGAGGAUGAUCAGCCACACUGGGACUGAGACACGGCCCAGACUCCUACGGGAGGCAGCAGUGGGGAAUAUUGGACAAUGGGGGCAACCCUGAUCCAGCAAUGCCGCGUGAGUGAUGAAGGCCUUCGGGUUGUAAAGCUCUUUCGCCCGCGACGAUGAUGACGGUAGCGGGAGAAGAAGCCCCGGCUAACUUCGUG